CUAUCAAACUUUUGUGCUGAAUCUCCUCCCAAAUCAAGUUAGGUUGCAGUCCCCCAGCAUCCUAAGAUGCUUUGUGGCUCUACUGCUAACCUCCACCUCCCAGGGUAGACAGGCUCGCCUCAGCCCAUAAUCCUUUGCUCCACUGGAAUGCUGAACUGUCCCCACCUCCUGGCUGUCACAGAGCUGAGGCAGCAAAGCCAGGACCCUAAGCCACUGCCUUUUACCAGGAGAGGAGGGAUGGCAGUAGAGGAUUCAGGGAUUGACUAGACAUGGUGACUGGAGUCAUUGGAAGGGAGAACAUCUGUUGUUUGAAGGAAUUGGAAAUGUUAGAAAAGAAUGGUGUACUAGAACUCCUUGGAAGGGCAGAUUCAAGUGGAAGAACAAGCCUUUUUGUGCUACCAUAGAUGUGCUACAUUGGAAUCUCUAUAAUAAAACCAUUUUAUUUUAAAUUAAA